rnacentral:rRNA from 1 species
GAUGAACGCUGGCGGCGUGCCUAAUACAUGCAAGUCGAGCGAAUGGAUUAAGAGCUUGCUCUUAUGAAGUUAGCGGCGGACGGGUGAGUAACACGUGGGUAACCUGCCCAUAAGACUGGGAUAACUCCGGGAAACCGGGGCUAAUACCGGAUAACAUUUUGAACCGCAUGGUUCGAAAUUGAAAGGCGGCUUCGGCUGUCACUUAUGGAUGGACCCGCGUCGCAUUAGCUAGUUGGUGAGGUAACGGCUCACCAAGGCAACGAUGCGUAGCCGACCUGAGAGGGGGAUCGGCCACACUGGGACUGAGACACGGCCCAGACUCCUACGGGAGGCAGCAGUAGGGAAUCUUCCGCAAUGGACGAAAGUCUGACGGAGCAACGCCGCGUGAGUGAUGAAGGCUUUCGGGUCGUAAAACUCUGUUGUUAGGGAAGAACAAGUGCUAGUUGAAUAAGCUGGCACCUUGACGGUACCUGCAGAAGAAGCACCGGCUAACUACGUGCCAGCCGCCGCGGUAA